GGAAUGUCUGAAUCGUCUCCCUGGGGGAGGUGAAGGACUCCCAUAUAUCCUGCGAAACAACAGUGAGGCUGGGCCCCCUCCCCCCCCCACACACAGUGGGGCCACCUCACCUUCCUCACCUCUUGCCCCAGGUGAGCCAGCUCCAGGUCUUCUUGCCCAGACCUGAAACCCAGGGGUGGGCGGUCAGUUGCCUGGUGCCUCCUGAGGCCUUUCCAGAAUCAACUACAGCUGGAGGAAACCUGAAGGACAGAGGUGGGCUGCCUCACAGAACCCUCUUCCUCCGGGAAGCAGGACAUUCAUGGGUCGUGUGUGAUGAGUCCACUCUGGCCUCCGGAGUGCCGGCCUUCCCUCGGGCGCUGUUCCAGGUGGCAUCCUUGUCAUCCUCACACCAGGGCAGAGAACAGCCACAGGUGCUGGUCACAGCAUACUGUGGAUCAGAGACCUGUAGCCCUCAGCACAACCUGGCCAGAGAACCACGAGCAGCAAGACCGCUCACUUCAGUCUCCUCCCACACUCCCGACUCUGUUCUCAACCAACAUAAAACUACCCGAGGGCUGCCAUUCGGUCAAAAUCUGAUUUUCAGAUAAAUAACAUUUUUUUCAAAGUUGCUGAGGGCCAACUGGGUGUGAGGACGAAAGAAACACGUAAAGAGAAUUCUCAGAUGCUGGCACAGAGGAUGGGGAUAACACUGCUUAAGAUCCCAGGGUCCCACUGCCUGGGUUCAGAUCAGGGCUCCACCAAGCCCACUGACUCUGGGCAAGUUGCUUAACCUCUGA